CAUUAGGGGGCGAGCUCCACGGCGCCGGUGGCCUUGCCUGUCAUCUCUCAGAACAGGGCCUGCCGCACACACCAUGCACUUAGUGAACAUCUGUAGAAUGAAGAAAGGAUCAUAGCGGAGGUGUCCCAGUCGCCCGCUGAAAAGGCGCCGGGAUCUAUGCAAUUUCGCCUGCGGCUGAAACAGCGGCGCUGAGACUCGUGGCGCUUUUCUGCCCGGGAAUUCCCUGGUCUGGUUCCCGGCUUCAGUCCCCGUCUCAAUCAGCUGGAUGGGUGACUCUGCCUUCUCGGAGCUCCAAACGCCAACUAAAAGGGCACCCAGUCCCGCAUACUCCGCACUGAGAACCGCUGUGCCGGCCAGAAGAGUCGCGUUGGCGACCCGUGGGGCUCCUCCGCUGGGAAUCUCCUGGUCCGUAAACAGCAAAAAUUCGUCUGGAAGUCUGGCGUCCACACUCGCUGUGCCUUCACUGGGAGCUGCAACCCUGAGCUGCUGCUGGACGGACAUUGUGGAUCCCCGAGAGUUGCAUUUUUAUAUGUGCUACUUGGGAGGCUGAGGAAAGACAGUGGCUUGAACCCAGGAGGUGGAGUAUGCGGUGAGUGGAGAUCACCCCAUUACAUUCCAGCCUGGGCGAUAGAGCAAGACUCCGUCUCAAAAAAAAAAAAAAAAAAAAAAAAAAAAAAAAAAGGACCUGCACGGGACCACACAGUAAGUAUCAGAAGGGAGAGAAUGAUCAGAUGUGCUUUGCACAAAGUUAGCUGUAACUGUGCUCCCCCAGAUGCUGCCUCCCCAUUCCAAGCCUUUGUUCUUGUGUGUCCUGUUAGUCAUAGUGAAAACCAGCCAUUACUAAGUACCUAGCAUGGCCUAAUCAUUUGCAUGUAUUAUCUCACCUAAUUUUCACAGCCCUCUGAAAUAAGGAACUGGGAUUAUCAUUCCCAUUUUACAGAAGAGAAAACUGAGGAGCUAAGUAGCUUCCCUGAGGUGGUGCAGCCCAGGCCUCUGCACAUCUACCUCUGUGCCACACCACCCCUUGUCAAUAGGCAGGGAUGAGACUGCCCAUCAGUCAGGCCCUGAUCCACAGCAAUGAAUCGAGGGCCUGGGCUACGAGCUGACCCAAGUCAGGGGCUCUUGUCUUUCCAGAUCACAGACUGAAGAAUUUGAUGGAAGCUACAGGUCCUCACCCUAGAAAUAUGCAGACACACAGACACGUAGCAUCUUGCACAUACGUUAGGAAAUUCCCAGAUCCCCACAAGCCUGUCCUUGGGCCCCCCUAGGCAAGCAUGCCAUAGGGGAAGACAUUUGCGGGUAAAUGCUUCAGCCUACAGAUAUUCUCCCAUCUGGAGCAAAUGGGCAAGCCUUUGAGUUCUACAGGGUUUGAUUUUGGGGACAAGGAAAACAAAAUUCCACAUCUAUUUUCAUUUACCUCAUCUGAGAAAGGUACAAAAAGCAGCAGCCUGCCCUCCAAGCCCCCAUCUUGGGGCUGACCUAAUUACCCAGCUUCUUUCCGCCACCCAGAUGGCUGAACGCUGCUAGAGGAAAUCUUCUAAUUCUGCUGGUUUCUGCCAGUGCACACGUACGGUUCCUAAUCCCAGCAGGGCCUUUACCACUACUUGGCAGCUCUUACUGUACCAGAUAAACACUCAUACCCAAUUCCCACAAUGGCCAUUCCAACCUUCUUUAAUGAUUCACUAAGCUUUAAAGUUUUCAUGUGAUAGCAGAAGCCCAACUGCACGUAGUUCAAUUCACACCUUCCACAGUUUUCAUCCUGUUUCUCCCUCCACCUCUGCUCUCAAUCCUUUCAUUUUCUUUCCUUUCUUUCUUUUUUUUUUUCUUUUUUUUGCUAUUUAUGUAGCAGCUCCUGUGCCUGUUACUGGGCUAGGCUCUGGGAUGCCUGUCAUAGUCUCUGCUCUUGUGGAGCAAAUAGCCCAGAGACAAAGACAUCAUUCAACAAAUAUUAAUAAUUACAAGUAUGAUGAGGGGUACUCAGGGACAGUGGGGAGUGUUAGAGAAUGUGUUGAUCUGGGGGUUUCAGGAGGGCCUUCCUGAGGAAUGGCAUUUAAAGCUGAGACUUCAGGGAUGACAUGUCAGCUAGGAAUCCUUUGGUUUACACAUAACAGAAAACCUAACAGCAAAACCAUAAGAUUUUUUUUUUUUUUUUGAGACAGAGUUUCGCUUUUGUUGCCCAGACUGGAGUGCAAUGGUACAAUCUCGGCUCACCACAACCUCCGCCUCCUGGGUUCAAGCAAUUCUCCUGCCUCAGCCUCCCGAGUACCUGGGACUACAGGCGCGUGCCACCAUGCCCAGCUAAUUUUUUUUUAUUUUUACUAGAGACAGGGUUUCACCAUGUUGACCAGGAUGAUCUCGAUCUCUUGACCUUGUGAUCCACCCGCCUCGGCCUUCCAAAGUGCUGGGAUUAUAGGCGUGAGCCACCAGGCCUGGCCAAAAAAUACUUUAUCUAUCUAUCUAUCUAGAGUUCAUUAAUCCAGUAUACCCCCCAAUUAUCAUGUCAACAUGUAAUCAACAAGAAAAAUAUUAAUUUGAUAUCUUGCACCCUUUAUUGUAGAAAUCCAUUGUGUAUUUUACACUUACAGCGCAUUGCAAUUCAGAGCAGUCACAUUUCAAAUGCUCAGUAGUCACAAGUGGCCGGUGGCUACUGUACUGAAUAGUGCUACCAACUUUUUUUAUUUUUUAUUUUUGACAGAGUCUUGCUCUUUUGCCCAGGUUGGAGUGCAGUGGCACCAUCUCGGCUCACUGAAACCCCCGCCUCCUGGGUUCAAGCAAUUUUCCUGGCUCACCCUCCUGAGUAGCUGGGAUUACAGACAUGCGCCAUUACAUUCAGCUAAUUUUUGUAUUUUUAGUGGAGACAGAGUUUCACCAUGUUGGCCAGGCUGGUCUUGAACCCCUGACCUUAGGUAAUCCUCCCACCUCAACCUCCCAAAGUGCUGGGAUUACAGGUGUGAGCCACUGCACCCACCCGGCUUUUCUAUUUUUAAGACUUACAUAAAGAUUUGUACAUACUGUUCCUACCAUUUGCGUUUAAUCAUUAAACUACAGCCAAGGUGUGCCUGGAGAACAAAUUGGGAGGCAGUGCUUGGCCUGUACAAAUCAAAAUGGAAAGCUAUCAACUGCGAAGUAUUGUGCAACAAGAAAUAAAUAAUACCACCGAAGGCCUACAGAUAGACCCCGGCAAUUAUGGACAUUCGAUUUAUGACAAACCUUGCUUGCAGACGGUUAAAAACAGUCUUUUCUUGGGAGGCCGAGGCGGGUGGAUCACGAGGUCAAGAGAUCGAGACCAUCCUGGUCAACAAGGUGAAACCCCGUCUCUACUAAAAAUACAAAAAUUAGUUGGGCACGGUGGUGCGUGCCUGUAAUCCCAGCUACUCAGGAGGCUGAGGCAGGAGAAUUGCCUGAACCCAGGAGGCGGAGGUUGCAGUGAGCCGAGAUCGCGCCAUUGCACUCCAGCCUGGGUAACAAGAGCGAAGCUCUGUCUCAAAAAAAAAAUCUUUUCAACACAUGGUGCUGGAAUAACUGAAUCUCCAAAGGGAAUACUAUGUAUCAUGACCCCCUACUUCCCAGUAUAUGUCAAAAUCAACUCCAGGUGUUUUCCAAUCUUAAAUGAGCAAAGAAAACAAUAACACUUUCAGAAGAUAGGCAAAGGACUUGAGCAGCCAUUCCACAGAAGAUAUCCAAAUGGCCAGCUGACAUAUCACAAGAUGUUUAACCUCAUUUAUAGACACAGAAAUGCAAGUUCAACCCAUACCAAGGUACCACAAACUCACCAGAAUGGUCAACCACGUUGACAACCUCAAGAACUGGUGAGGGCGUGGAACAACUGGAACUCUCAUACACUGCCUCUGGGAAGGAAAAUUAGCACAACCACUUGCCUUUCUCUAGUUAAGCGGAAUAGACUCACCCAGCAAUUCUACUCCUAGCUAUUUACCUGAUAACAUAUUUUAUUUAUUUAUUUAUUUAUUUAUUUAUCCAUUCAUUCAUUCAGAGACAAAGUUUCGCUCUUGUUACCCAGGCUGGAGGGCAAUGGCACAAUCUCGGCUCACUGCAACCUCUGCCUCCCAGGUUCAGGUGAUUCUCCUGCCUCAGCCUCCCAAGUAGCUAGGAUUACUGACAUGCACCACCACACCUGGCUAAUUUUGUUUUUGUUUUCAGACAGGAUCUGGCUCUGUCGCCCAUCCACGCUGGAGUGCAGUGGCAUGAUCUCACCUCACUGCAAGCUCUGCCUCCUGGGCUCAAGUGAUUCUUGUGCCUCAGAGGCAGCUACCUGAGUAGCUGGGAUUACAGGCAUGCCCAGCUAAUUUUUUUUUUUUUCUGAGACGAAGUUUCACUCAGUCACCCAGGCUGGAGUGCAGUGGCAUGAUCUUGGCUCACUGCAACCUCCGCCUCCUGGGUUCAAGCAAUUCUCCUGCCUCAACCUCCCAAGUAGCUGGGAUUACAGGCGCCCACCACCACACCUGGCUAAUUUUCUGUAUUUUUAGUAGAGAUGAUGUUUCACCAUAUUGGCCAAGCUGGUCUUGAACUCUUGACCUCAGGUGAUCCACCAACCUUGGCCUCCCAAAGUGCUGCGAUCACAGGCAUGAGCCACUGUGCCCAGCAAAUUUUGUAUUUUUAGUAGAGGCAGGUUUUCUUCAUGUUGGUUAGGCUGGUCUCAAACCCCUGACCUCAGGUGGUCUGCCCGCCUUGGCCUCCCAAAGUGCUGAGAUUGUAGGCGUGAGCCACUGUGUCCAGCCCCAUUUUUACAGUAGCAUAUUUGAAAUAGCUUAAAACUGGAACAAAAUGUGGCAUAUACACACAUUGUAUGUAUAUACAUACAGUGGAAUGUUACUCAGCCAUAAAAGGGAAUUAAGUUCUGAUACAUGCUAUAACAUGGAUGAACCUUGAAAACAUUAUGCUAAGUGAAAUAAGCCAGACGCAAAAGGACAAACAUUGUAGGCACUUUAUAUGAGGUACCCAGGAUAGGCAAAUUCAUAGACAGUAUAUUAGGAGUUAUCAGGGACUAAUGGGAGGUGGAAUGCCAGUUAUUGCUUAAUGGUUACAGAGCUUCUGUUUGGGAUGAUGAAAAGUUCUGGAGUAGAUAGUGGUGACGGUUGAACAAUAUAAUUAGUGCCACUGAAUUGUACACUUAAAAAUGGUUAAAAUGGCAAAUUUUGUCAUACAUUUACUUAUUUAUUUCUUUAUUGAGACGGGGUUUUGCUCGUGUUGCCCAGGCUGGAGUGCAAUGGUUCGAUCUUGGCUCACUGCAGCCUCCGUCUCCUGGGUUCCAGCAAUUCUCCUGCCUCAGCCUCCUGAGUAGCUGGGAUUACAGGCGCGCACCACCACGCCCAACUCAUUUUGUGUUUUUAAUAGAGACAGGGUUUUUCCAUGUUGGUCAGGCUGGUCUUGAACUCCCGACCUCAGGUGAUCUGCCUGCCUUGGCCUCCCAAAGUGUUGGGAUUACAGGCAUGGGCCACCAAUCCUGGCCCAUACAUUUAUUUUACCACAAUUUUUUUAAGAUAGAGUCUCACUCUGUUGCCCAGUUUGGAGUGCAGUGGUGCGAUCUUGGCUCACUGCAACCUCUGCCUCCCAGGUUUAAGCGAUUCUCCUGCCUCAGCCUCUGAGUAGCUGGGACUACCGGUGUGUGUCUCCAUGCCCAGCUAAUUUUCAUAUUUUUAGUAGAGACGGGGUUUCACCAUGUUGGUCAGGCUGGUCUUGAACUCCUGACCUCAUGAUAUGCCUGCCUUGGCCUCCCAAAGUGCUGAGAUUAGAGGCGUGAGCUACCACACUUGGCCUAUUUUACCACUAUUUUUGAAAAUUAAUAAUGUAAUAUACCACAAACCAUUGAACGGUAUACUCGACAUGGGUGAAUUGAUGGUAUGUGAAUUAUAUCUCAAUAAAGCAGUUUACAAAAUUCUAAGUGAUUGCUUUUAGAAUUCAUUUUUAGGUGGUAAAAUUAGUUUUAACAAGCAACUGAGUGAGGACUAUAACUAUCAAGGGAGCAGGAUUCCUUCCUGGGCUCGGGAGGAGGCCGUCAUCAGAAGCAGCACUCUGGAGGCGUCUAGAACUUUGUUUUGACUGAGGCAGUUGUUGUGGGAGGUUCAUUUUAUAACCAUCCAUUGAGCUAUAUAUUUAUGUUUUGCAUACUUUUAUUAUAUAUAUGUGUGUGUGUGUAUCUAUCAUCUAUCUAUCUAUCUACCUACCUACCUACCUACCUAUUCUUUUUAGACAGAGUUUUGCUCUUGUCGCCCAGGCUACAGUGCAGUGGCACAAUCUCAGCUCUCUGCAACCUCUGCCUCCCAGGUUCAGGUGAUUCUCCUGCCUCAGCAUCCCGAAUAGCUGGAACUACAGGCAUGCACUAGCAUGCCCAGCUGAUUUUGUAUUUUUGGUAGAGAUGUUGUUUCAUCAUGUUGACUAGGCUGGUCAGGAAUUCCUGACCUCAGGUGAUCUGCCCACCUCGGACUCCCAAAAUGCUGGGAUUACAAGUGUGAGCCACCGUGCCUGGCCAGUCAUUUCCAAAGGUUAUGCUAACUACGUAAUUUGUCCUUAUGUACUGACUUAGAUCCUAACCUAGUGUAAAGUGUAACUCCAUUGCUGAUGGAUUUGAGAGCCACUUAAGAGACUUGGUGACUGACUGGAGUAUCAGGGAAAAAGAGAGAAACUAAAGAAUGAUAUUCUCAGGCCUAAUAACUCUGUUAUUCUCUGGCCUAAACAACUGACUAAAGAGUUGUUCUAUUUAUUGAGAUAAGGUUCAUGGGGAGAAUAGUUAGAGGUGCUGGGCGUGGUGGCUCACGCCUAUAAUCCCAGCACUUUGGGAGGCAGAGGUGGGUGGAUCACGAGGUCAAGAGAUCGAAACCAUUCUGGCCAACAUGGUAAAAAAUACAAAAAUUAGCUGGGCAUGGUGGCACGCACCUGUAGUCCCAGCUACUCGGAAGGCUGAGGUAGGAGAAUUGCUUGAACCCAGGAGGCAGAGGUUGCAGUGAGCCGAGAUCGUGCCAUUGCACUCUAGCCUGGUGCCUGACGACAGAGCAAGACUCCAUCUCAAAAAAAGAAAAAAAAGAAUAGUUGGAGGAUAAAGAGAAUAGGCCCACUCCUUUUUUCUUAAUAUUUUACCAUAAAAAAUUUCAAAAAUACAGAAAGACAGACUGUAAACACUCAUAUACGUACCACCUGGGUUCUACAACUUAUUGCUAUAUUUUCUUCUUCACAUCUUUCCAUAUACCUAGAAGAGUUCAUUUUUGAACAAGCUGAAUUUGUGACAUCUAGGAGACAUCCAAGUGUCCUGUCGAAUAGGCUACUAGUCUAGAGUGCAGAAAUACGUUAACAGCAGGCAGGCCAGGUGCGGUGGCUCACGCCUAUAAUCCCAGCACUUUGGGAGGCCAAGGCGGGUGGAUCACCUGAGGUCAGGAGUUCAAGACCAGACUGGCCAACAUGGUGAAACUGUCUCUACUAAUAAUACAAAAAAGUUAGCUGGGUGCAGUGGCGCACACCUGUAAUUUCAGCUACCUGGGAGGCUGAGGCAGGAGAAUCACUUGAACUUGGGAGGUGAAGAUUGCAGUGAGCCGAGACUGUGCCAUUGCACUCCAGCCUGGGUGACAAGCGCAAAACUCCAUCUCAUUUAAAAAAAAGGCUACAAGUGCUGCCUCCUUUUCUUCACCUCCCAUUUACACUCAACUCUCCAGAAUUUGACUUGUGACAGCUUCCUUUUGAAGAUGCCACCACUGAGCACACUGACUACUGAGCAGUCCAAAAUUGAACUCAUGUGUUCCCUCUGUGAAAGCUGCUCCUCUUCCUCCUGUAUGUCCUACUGCCUUAGUCAGUAUGAGCUGCAAAGCACCACAGACGGAGUGGGUUAAACAGCAGAAAUUAUUUCUCACAGUUCUGGAGGCCGGAAGUCCUAGACCAUGUGCCGGCAUGGUCAGGUGCAGGUGAGUGCCCUCUGCCAGGAUGCAGGCUGCCAACUUGUAUCUCACGGUGCAGGAAGAGCGAGAGAGCUCUCUGGGGUCCCUUUUAUAAGAGCACUAAUCCCAUUUAUGAGGGCUCCACCCUCAUGAUCUAACCUCCCAAAGGCCCCACCUCCAAAUACCAUCACAUUGGGGGUUAGGAUUUCAACAAAUGCAUUUGGGGGUACAUAAACAUUCAGUCUGUAACACCCACCUUAGUUACCUGAGCCUCAAACAUGGCGGUCACCCUAGACAUCUCCCCCAAGCAAACAGGUUCUCUCAAAUCCUGUCUCCUAAAGAGCUUUAAAACAAAGUCCCCUCUCUCACCAUGCCCACCUUUUUUUUUUUUUUUUUUUGAGACCGAGUCUGGCUCUGUCGCCAGGCUGGAGUGCAGUGGCACGAUCUUGGCUCACUGCAACCUCUGCCUCCUGGGUUCAAGCGAUUCUUCUGCCUCAGCCUCCCAAGUAGCUGGGACUACAGGGAUACGCUACCACGCCCAGCUAGCUUUGUAUUUUUAGUAGAGACAGGGUUUCUCCAUGUUGGUCAGGCUGGUCUUGAACUCCUGACCUCAGGUGAUCCAGCCACCUCAGCCUCCCGAAGGGCUGGGAUCACAGGCAUGAGCCACCAAGCCUGGCCUAGACUUUCUUAAGCGGCAAAUCGGAACACAUCUUCUGCUUGAAAAGCCAGUGUCCUUCUGGGCCAGGGCACUAAGAUCCACUUAAAACCCUUCGGGUGAGAUGUCAGUGAGGAGCUCCUGCUUACUAUUCCAGCCAUAUCUAAAAGGAAGGCCACCAGAGAGUCAGGCCCUUUCAGUCUCUACUUUUCUCCUGGAUAAGCUCUGACCUCGGCCCCCUCCUGUGUACCUGUGGUGCUCCCAGCCCCACUCCCACCUCGGGACGUUACUGUUGUGCUCAGAGCACACUGGGGGCCCCAUGCCACACUUACCAUACCUGCUAGGCUCAUGAACAGUGAACAGUUUCAGGGCAGGGACUGUGUGUGUUCUUGAUGUGUAUCCCCAAGUCCUGCACAGUGUGCAUAGAAAGGGGUUCAAUAAAUGGAUAUUGGCCAGGCAUGGUGGGUCACGCCUGUAAUCCCAGCACUCUGGGAGGCCGGCCAACAUGGCGAAAACCCAUCUGUACUAAAAAUACAAAAAUUAGCUGGGUGUGCUGGUACACACCUGUAAUCCCAGCUACUCGGGAGGCUGAGGCAGGAGAAUCAUGUCAACCCAGAAGGGAAGUUUGCAGUGAGCCGAGAUCAUGCCACUGCACUUCAGCCUGGGUGACAGAGCAAGACUGUCUCAAAAAAAAAGGAUAAUGAAUGAAGGCAUGGAUUCUAAGGAUCAAAAGUGAAGCUUUAAAAAUGUUAGGCUUACACGGAC